rnacentral:lncRNA from 1 species
GUUCCUUAAUAAAAUUGAUGGAUGAAUGAAUCACUUAGUUAAUACUAGUUAAGUGCGUGUAGUGAAAAUAGAAAUACACACAAGACAAACACACAAGAAGUAUAGUGGUUCGGUGCUCUCCUAAGCACCUAUGUCCACUCUCCGAGCGUCCCCUUGGAAAUUCACUAUAAUCCCGCGGAUUACAGUUGGAUUGUUUUCCGGGAUCACAAUCCAAAAAUCUUUACACUUUGAUUUUCCGGAAUCACCAAAAACCUACGUUGGUUUUGCGGGCUCACCAACAACCUACGUUGGUUUUGCGGGCUCACCAACAACCUACACCGUUGGUUUUACAGGCUCACCAACCAACCUUACAAGAGGUUUGAAAAGAAAGAAAUUUAAAGCUUCUAAAUGAGCAAAUAUAACAAAUAUGAACUAAGAAAAGAGAUGAAUAGUUAUCGCUUUGAGGAUGCUCUUCUCUUCUUUGCUCAGGUUACUUCACUUUACAAUGAGUUGGUGGAGCUGUUGAAUGCACUUUCAAAUUUGCUCAACCACCUUCUUUUGAGAUUUGAAUGAAGCAACUUAAUGAAGAACGCUAGGGCUUGCUUUAAUCUUGAAUACUCUAUGAUUUCUUACAAAAGAAUAAUUCUACUGAUGAAUAGUAUCUCUUAAAUACUUCUCAACCUCUAUUGGUUACUUUCCAUUCGUUAGAUUUGAAAAACUAGCCGUUACUAUCCGUUGGGAGGUCAAAAAGUACUUUGACUCUUAAUCGUGAGAUCAGCAAAUACUAUGAGAGCACCUUUCUCUGAUACCACUUGUUGCCCGAAGUGACAAGCCAAGAGGGGGGCUGAAUUGAUUUUUCUAAAUUUUUAGUUCCUUAAUAAAAUUGAUGGAUGAAUGAAUCACUUAGUUAAUACUAGUUGAGUGCGUGUAGUGAAAAUAGAAAUACACACAAGGCAAACACACAAGAAGUAUAGUGGUUCGGUGCUCUCUUAAGCACCUAUGUCCACUCUCCGAGCGUCCCCUUGGGAAUUCACUAUAAUUCCGCGGAUUACAGUUGGAUUGUUUUUCGGACUCACAAUCCAAAAAUCUUUACACUUUGAUUUUCCGGAAUCACCAAAAACCUAUGUUGGUUUUGCGGGCUCACCAACAACCUACACCGUUGGUUUUACGGGCUCACCAACCAACCUUACAAGAGGUUUGAAAAGAAAGAAAUUUAAAGCUUCUAAAUAAGCAAAUAUAACAAAUAUGAACUAAGGAAAGAGAUAAGGAAUAGUUAUCGCUUUGAGGAUGCUCUUCUCUUCUUUGCUCAGGUUACUUCACUUUACAAUGAGUUGGUGGAGCUGUUGAAUGCACUUUCAGAUUUGCUCAACCACCACCUUUUGAGAUUUGAAUGAAGCAACUUAAUGAAGAAUGCUAGGGCUUGCUUUAAUCUUGAAUACUCUAUGAUUUC